GGCACAGUGGCGCAGUAGGUAGCACUGUCGCCUCACAGCAAGAAUCCGGGUUCGAAUCCGGCCUGGGUCU
rnacentral:tRNA from 1 species